GCUCCGAUGGCCUAGUAGUAGAGCAUCCGCCUCAGAUGCGGGAGGUCGUGGGUUCGAUCCCCGGUCAAUUCA